AGAGGAAGGCUCGUCCGCUCUGGGUUAGUCGGGUCCUAAGCUGAGGCCGACAGGCGUAGGCGAUGGAUAACAGGUUGAUAUUCCUGUACCACCUAUAAUCGUUUUAAUCGAUGGGGGGACGCAGUAGGAUAGGCGAAGCGUGCGAUUGGAUUGCACGUCUAAGCAGUAAGGCUGAGUAUUAGGCAAAUCCGGUACUCAUUAAGGCUGAGCUGUGAUGGGGAGAAGACAUUGUGUCUUCGAGUCGUUGAUUUCACACUGCCGAGAAAAGCCUCUAGAUAGAAAAUAGGUGCCCGUACCGCAAACCGACACAGGUAGUCAAGAUGAGAAUUCUAAGGUGAGCGAGCGAACUCUCGUUAAGGAACUCGGCAAAAUGACCCCGUAACUUCGGGAGAAGGGGUGCUCUUUAGGGUUAACGCCCAGAAGAGCCGCAGUGAAUAGGCCCAAGCGACUGUUUAUCAAAAACACAGGUCUCUGCUAAACCGUAAGGUGAUGUAUAGGGGCUGACGCCUGCCCGGUGCUGGAAGGUUAAGAGGAGUGGUUAGCUUCUGCGAAGCUACGAAUCGAAGCCCCAGUAAACGGCGGCCGUAACUAUAACGGUCCUAAGGUAGCGAAAUUCCUUGUCGGGUAAGUUCCGACCCGCACGAAAGGCGUAACGAUUUGGGCACUGUCUCAACGAGAGACUCGGUGAAAUCAUAGUACCUGUGAAGAUGCAGGUUACCCGCGACAGGACGGAAAGACCCCGUGGAGCUUUACUGUAGCCUGAUAUUGAAAUUCGGCACAGCUUGUACAGGAUAGGUAGGAGCCUUUGAAACGUGAGCGCUAGCUUACGUGGAGGCGCUGGUGGGAUACUACCCUAGCUGUGUUGGCUUUCUAACCCGCACCACUUAUCGUGGUGGGAGACAGUGUCAGGCGGGCAGUUUGACUGGGGCGGUCGCCUCCUAAAAGGUAACGGAGGCGCUCAAAGGUUCCCUCAGAAUGGUUGGAAAUCAUUCAUAGAGUGUAAAGGCAUAAGGGAGCUUGACUGCGAGACCUACAAGUCGAGCAGGGUCGAAAGACGGACUUAGUGAUCCGGUGGUUCCGCAUGGAAGGGCCAUCGCUCAACGGAUAAAAGCUACCCCGGGGAUAACAGGCUUAUCUCCCCCAAGAGUUCACAUCGACGGGGAGGUUUGGCACCUCGAUGUCGGCUCAUCGCAUCCUGGGGCUGUAGUCGGUCCCAAGGGUUGGGCUGUUCGCCCAUUAAAGCGGUACGCGAGCUGGGUUCAGAACGUCGUGAGACAGUUCGGUCCCUAUCCGUCGUGGGCGUAGGAAAUUUGAGAGGAGCUGUCCUUAGUACGAGAGGACCGGGAUGGACAUACCUCUGGUGUACCAGUUGUCGUGCCAACGGCAUAGCUGGGUAGCUAUGUGUGGACGGGAUAAGUGCUGAAAGCAUCUAAGCAUGAAGCCCCCCUCAAGAUGAGAUUUCCCAACUUCGGUUAUAAGAUCCCUCAAAGAUGAUGAGGUUAAUAGGUUCGAGGUGGAAGCAUGGUGACAUGUGGAGCUGACGAAUACUAA
rnacentral:rRNA from 1 species